UCGUUAAAUGCAAUGAUCACGCACAGUAUACAUAAACAAAUGUAAACACUGCUCAAAACCUGCACGUCCUUGCGCGAUAAAGUGAAGCAUUACUUACUUAAAAAUGUUUCUGAUAACUUGAAAUGCAUUCACCUCUCUUUCUCGUUAAGCAUUGUUGUAUGUCUUAAUCGAUAAAAAUAAUAAUAAUUAAAAAAAAUAUAUACAGUAGGCUGAACUUCUCUAAUAUAUAUAUAUAUAUAUAUAAUGCGUUUGUCACUCAAAUGCGUCGUUACUCAUUUGAUCAAUGACAAUACUAUUGAUGUUGGUUAUGUGUAUAAUGGAUACACACAUGAAGAGUUGCAUAAAACAUGGCUUAGAUAUCCUUAUUUACCUUGGAAACGGUAUCUAUGUCAUAUAUGUCCGUGGAAACGAUCCACUCACCUGAACUUUUAGCUAGAGGGGAAGAUGGAUCAGCAGAUUGAGGAUUCCUACUCUGCAGAAGAAGAGGAGGAGACAGAGGGAGUAACAUAAAGAGAACAAGUGGCAACAUUGAAGGUUUUUACAAAUGAACACAUCCCAGAGACAGGUGUUAUUUACUGGGCUGACUGAUGAGGAAGGGGAAAACGUAGUUGCCCGGUUGGGUGGGAGUCUGGCGAGGGGGUGAACGAUAUGACUCAUCUGGUGACUGAUAAGGCUAGACGCACUGUUAAGUUUCUUUGUGCUGUUGCCAGAGGAGUGCCUAUUGUGAUUCCUGAUUGGCUAAAAAGUGUGGCAAAUCCGGCCAUUUCCUCUCUGCUGAUGAAGAUUUAUUGAAGGAUGUCGAGCAGGAGAAGAAGUUUAGUUUCAGCCUACAAAAGGCACUCCAAACAGCUCAAAGCCAGCCUAUCUUAAAGGGUUAUGAGAUUCAUGUGACGACAUCUGUCAUGCCAGAACCAUCUCAAAUGAAAGAAAUCAUCAUCUGUUGUGGAGCACGUUUUCUUGCUAAAAUGCCCUCAGGUCAUAAGGAACACACUGUGGGGUGUCAUGUGAGCAGGAUAGUUCGCUUUGUGAGAAGGCAGCGAGUGUGUCAUUGCCCAUGGUCAGCACAGAGUUUCUAUUGACUGGCAUUCUGCAGCAGAGAGUUGACCUGCAGGCCUAUUCUCUCACUUCCUCUCUCAGCGUGUCCAAUCAGCCUGCAGCCCCCAAAGCUCUAGCCAGGAGCCGUAGGAAGUAAUGACAAUGACAUUGAACAGGACUUUCCAUGUGUUAUAUUUGUGCCAGUCUUGUACAGUAUCUGAUUAACUAGACUGCUUAAGAAGAUGAAUACGAGAAUUAAUUAAAUUCCAGUUUUAUAAACUAAGUAAUGAAUUUGAUUAGAUGUGAAAUGCUGCUACUGUUGUAACCACACACACACACACUGAUUCCUGUGACUGUGAGAGCUCAAUAGAAUGUGAGAGGGGGCUCUCAAUGAGUGUAUUUGGAAUGGGAGAAUGAGCUUCCUUGGUUUUAUCAUCUUAAAUCAAUAAACUCUU